GAAAGAAAGAAAGAAAGAACUUUAUGUUUCACCUUAAAUGUGCACCACAUUUAGAGAAAGAGAGGAAAGAAACAAAAUUACUCCAACAGCAGUAACUACUGGGUCCCAAUGGAUUAUAUUCAUACGAUACUGGACACAGCACAAGAGAUGAGCCAAGAGAUGAGCCAAGAGAUGAGCCUCUGAACAAAAUGAAUACUGACAUCAAAAGAAUUAGUGAGGGGGAAGUUCUAUUCAUUGAAAUGUCAAGAUGAUACCCACUGUGCUGGAGAACCAAG